AGAUGCCAUGGGCAGCCUCACAGCCACAGUGCUGGAGCGUGGCUUUGGCACAGUACAGGUGAUAAAGGCAACUGUGGUGACUGAAGGGAGAUCAGCGCGGAUGCGGCUGCCAUUGAGGAUGGCUCUUGAGGAGCGAUGGUGAUGCCCAGCAUUUGAACAAUGCUGAGCAGUGUUCUGAGUGGGCCCAAGGGAGCUGGAGGAAGAAAGGGGCAUGCCCCAAGAAGGCGUGGAGCCUUGCGGGGAGCAGGUCGCUCACAUCCAGGAGGAGCAGGGUGAGGUGAGCAUCAG